CGAAACAUGGCGGAAGCUCUUGUUAAGCGACCGUUACCACUACAACAACAACCGCUACUCUCCUCCGGCAAGAAACAAUGUUCGUGGCAGAGAAAAGCAGUGAUAGAAACAGAAGAAAACAAGAGUUAACAUUGGCGUUGCCAGCCACCGCUGAAGACAGCUCUUGGCAAAUAAAGGAGAGAAGUUUGAUGAACUGAUGAACUGAAACCGUUUCUUCUAGACUGAGGAAAAGGGGUGACAGCCAGACGGGACAGGGCACACUGGCUGUCUGUUGGGGCUUGUUUGUGUCUGUUGGCAUAGCAACUGUCAGGCUGCGACGGCAGAGGCAUGGUGGAGGACGGCGGCUGCUACGUGAUUCAUGGACAGCGAGGGCGGCCGAGCAGAGCAAAAAAAAUUAAAAAAGUUUGGCAUUGGGGUCGAAAAGAACCAGAGAGGAAGCAUCUGUUGGAUCUGCAAAGACUCAGGCUGGCCUCAGCUGCUCCAGCUGCCACCCACAAUGCACUAGCAUGAGCCAGGUUCAGGUUUUAAAUCCUCUAAACCUGUGCAUUGUUAGAAUAUAUUCACUCUGUAAGAUGUUUUAAAUAACAGCAUCCAUCAAAUGAAACGUAACUUAAAUUGAGAAAGAAAACUGAUUCAGUUGUUGACAAAACAAUCUCAGCACAAGAUCCAUUUAGUAGCUGUUCUGGAGCUUACAACAGUAUCACACAGUCCUCCUCAGCAGAUGGAGGUGAUGUCAAUAUAUUUGAAACUGACAAAAACAGGAAAGACUCCCAGAAGUCCAGGCUUAUUUAUUGGGUAAGUUGACAGAUUUUUUUUUUUUUUGAAAAUGUAUUUUCGCAAUUCAUCUGUUGUUGCUGUAUUUAGAUGUACUAAUGUGAUUUAUUUUUGGUUUGAAUUUGCACUGAUGAGCUCCAUUGUUCACAUGUUUUAUGUCUGUAUUUGAGCAACUUGGGAACAUGCUGGAAAUAAAAGUUCUCACUUUAUUGUGUUAUCCUUUUCGAAUAGGUUUGUUGUUGGAGCUGUGGCUGAGGAGGUAGAGUGGGUCACCCACUAACCAGGAGGUUGAAGGUUGAUGGCGUCCUUGGGCAAGAUACUAAAUCCCAGUUACCCCAGGUAUGAAUGUGUGAUAGAAAACAGCAAAAAAUACACAAUGGUGAUUAUAUAAAUACAGUUUUCUCUUUAUGCUGAGAAGUUGCAACCAACCACUCUGUAGAUCAUCACUACUGAGAGCAUUUAAACUUAUUUAAUUUAAAGUAUAAAAGAUGAAGUUACUAUAUAACGUGAAGCUCAAGGAUUCAGGAGUCUAAAAACUGAGUAGAAACAGGACAUUUGUAUGUGUGUUUAUUUGAGCUGACAAAAUGCUAAACAUUCCCAUGUGUUAUGGGUUUAAACAGAUUAGGAAACCUUUAAUUCAAUUACACAGAGUGACAAAGCACACUGGUAAAUGACUUGAAUGUGGUCAGCUAAAGGAAGAGCUCUAAUUUAAGUUUGUUUUCCCAUAGAGAGACACUGCAGGGAGAUUAAAAAAAAAAAAGACAACACAAAUUUUAAAAAGUGUUUAA